rnacentral:sRNA from 1 species
GCUGGUAAGAUACAAAAUGCUCCCUCUGGUCUCGUGAAAGUGUUAGCAACCAUCGCAAAACCCUAGCCACUUUCUUCACUCGUCUUCUACUUCAGGAUGGAGUCUCAGGUGAAGCAUGCUCUUGUUGUUAAAGUUAUGGGUCGUACUGGAUCCAGAGGGCAGGUUACGCAGGUUAGAGUGAAGUUUUUGGAUGAUCAGAAUCGUCACAUCAUGAGGAAUGUGAAAGGACCUGUGAGAGAAGGAGACAUUCUCACCCUACUCGAAUCUGAGAGGGAAGCAAGAAGAUUGCGCUAGAUGGUUUACAUCAAAACAGUGAUUUGGUUUUUGUGGUAGUUAGUGGAUGCUAAGGGUUAUGAGCCUAUCUUUUUGUUUUAAAUCUGUUUCCAUUCGAAUUAUGGUCUGAAUUUUGUUGUUUUUAAUCUAAGUUUUCAAGAUUGAAGUAUGAUUGUCUUAAUAUAUGAAUUAUGGAUUAAUAUAUGAUUUGGCUUCCAUUAAUAGCUGGC